rnacentral:rRNA from 1 species
GACGAACGCUAGCUACAGGCUUAACACAUGCAAGUCGAGGGGCAGCAUGAACUUAGCUUGCUAAGUUUGAUGGCGACCGGCGCACGGGUGAGUAACACGUAUCCAACCUGCCGAUGACUCGGGGAUAGCCUUUCGAAAGAAAGAUUAAUACCCGAUGGCAUAGUUCUUCCGCAUGGUAGAACUAUUAAAGAAUUUCGGUCAUCGAUGGGGAUGCGUUCCAUUAGGUUGUUGGCGGGGUAACGGCCCACCAAGCCUUCGAUGGAUAGGGGUUCUGAGAGGAAGGUCCCCCANAUUGGGACUGAGACACGGUCCAAACUCCUACGGGAGGCAGCAGUGAGGAAUAUUGGUCAAUGGACGAGAGUCUGAACCAGCCAAGUAGCGUGAAGGAUGACUGCCCUAUGGGUUGUAAAACUUCUUUAUACGGGAAUAAAGUGAGGCAUGUGUGCCUUUUUGUAUGUACCGUAUGAAUAAGGAUUCGGCUAACUCCGUG